rnacentral:lncRNA from 1 species
GUUCCCAGAUGAUACAUGGUGUCAGCAUAGUCUGGAUGAGCCUCCCCUAAGACACGCCUCUUAAUCUACAAGUUUAAAUGGUGAAAGAAAAACAUCUUCAGAAACUUAAUAGCAACAGCUGAAGUAAUCACAGUGCAAAGUCGUGGUAAUAACAACAUACCUUUAAAGCAAGCUGCCAUGUUAAUAAUAUGAACGAAUAAGAAAAGAAAUCGAUAUCAGCAAUUGAUACACGAGAGCAGUUGAAAAUCAUGAAGGAAAAAAAAGGCAAUAGUCAAAUAAAAGCUACACUUCAGAUUAAAACCGACAAUCAUUCCUCAAGCAUGAGAAGAGACCGAAGGUGAAGGCAACAUUUUAUCACUCCCACCAUCCAAAUUAAAUAUAUACUGUUGUAUACCAAAAUUAUAUCCACUGAGUUGAAAAGGGAAGGUUCAAUCAUAUGCUUAGCGGAAAGCUGCAUAAGCACUACUCUUCCACUUCUCAAUAAACCUUUCUCUUAUUUUGAUUAUGAAGAACCGAAAAUGUAUUCAAUGGCCCAAACAUGUUCCCUUCACAUUGGCAAUCAAAAUUUUCAACUCUUAACUUAAUAGUUGUGCCAGGUCAAAGAGCACAUUCAAUAUGUGAUAAAGGUAUGCCCAAGUAUAGUUUGAUAAAGUUAAUCAAUUUCAACUAUUUUCAACUGAAUAAAAAUUGCGCUCCAUGCUCAAGUCAAGCAUCAGAAGCAUUUGACUUAGAGUAGGACUGUUUCCAAUGCUAAUACUUCAGUUUAAGGUCACAUUAGAUAAGCCAUUCUUAAACAGUCAAAUCACAUACACACAAAAAUAAAAUAAAAUAAAUCAUGUGCACAGGAUAUCAUAGCAAGAAGGUGGUAUAACAAAGAAAAUCUAGAUAUGCUAAUGUGACCAAAAAAAAAGGUCAAAUGAUGGCAUGCUUGGAUCCAACUCAAGUCCUUCACCAAAUAAUACAUUAUACCAUGGAUCAGUGUUUAAAAAAGCGAUCGCUUCGUGGCUUUAAGCGAGAAGUGACGCGAAGCAAAGCUACAGGCCUUCGCUUUUCUGAAGUAGAGGAGACUCGACCAGCAGAAGCGAUCGCUUCAGGUGUUGAAGCGAGACGUGAUGCAGAAGCGAGAAGCGCAGAAGCAAUCGCUUCAGUAAACAAGGGUCAAUUUUUUAAAAAAAAAAAGAUUGGGUCAUUUUUAUUUUACAAAACAUAGACCCCAAAGUGAACUGAAGACAUUUCUUCUCUUCUUCCCUUCCAUCGACCUCACUGCUGCUUCUAGGGCAGCCUCUGGUCCUGGUAAUUUCUUCUUCUUCUUUUCUUGUUUCUUCUUUCUUCUUUUCUUAUCCAUUUUUCUUCUCCUUUUUUCUCUUUCUUUCUUUUUCUUCCGUGCAUCUGCUCACUGCUAGGGCAGACGCGUUUUUGUUUUCUUCUUUUUUUCCUUUUAUUCUUCUUAUUUA